AAGACCUUGCGCUUUUGGAGCGGCCGAMGCCUGAUUAGCUUGUUGGUAAGGUAAAAGCUUACCAAGGCUUCGAUCAGUAGCUGGUCUGAGAGGACGACCAGCCACACUGGGACUGAGACACGGCCCAGACUCCUACGGGAGGCAGCAGUGGGGAAUUUUGGACAAUGGGGGCAACCCUGAUCCAGCCAUGCCGCGUGAGUGAAGAAGGCCUUCGGGUUGUAAAGCUCUUUCAGCCGGAACGAAACGGUUACGGUUAUUACCCGUGACUACUGACGGUACCGGAAGAAGAAGCACCGGCUAACUACGUGCCAGCAGCCGCGGUAAUACGUAGGGUGCGAGCGUUAAUCGGAAUUACUGGGCGUGAAGCGUGCGCAGGUGGUUUUGUAAGUCAGAUGUGAAAGCCCCGGGCUCAACCUGGGAACU
rnacentral:rRNA from 1 species